ensembl:lncRNA
AACCGUUCCUCCCGGGCCUCACUUCUUGCCAUGUCCUCCUUCCAUUGUCGAGUCAUGACUUGCAUCUGGUUUACCAGCACAUGGACGUCUCUCACUGGCCUUGUUUGCUGGGUCCUCGUUCCUUUAAGAAACGGCAGCUAUAAAGUCAGUCGUAUCCCUACCGAUUAGGCAUGUGGUAGUAACCAUCUCGACAUCAGCUGUUUGUUAGACUACACAGGAUGAGUGACAGCAUGGCAUGAAGAUUCUUUGUGAUGCCCAUAUGUUGAUGCAGUUAUAAUAUUGCAGAACUUACCAGGUAGAUCAUCGGUGAUUGUAGCACGCAGUGGAGUAGAAGGUGGUGGAGAGCAGCUAGAGUCGACCUAACGGAGGAGGUAGCACGCAGUGGAGCAGAAGGUGGUGGAGAGCAGCUAGAGUCGACCUAACGGAGGAGGUAGCACGCAGUGGAGUAGAAGGUGGUGGAGUUGACGUAGGUGAGGAGGUUCCAGAUGAGCCUCCGAGCAGCGUCUCUUCCGGGUCCAUUGUAGUAUCUAUAAGAUGGUACAGCACAAAUAAUAAUAAAACGUUAUUUAUAGAGCACCUUUCAUGCAAAAGAAUGCAGCUCAAAGUGCUUUACAGCAAAUACGUGCGUAAUAACGUGCACAAAGAAAUUACCUGCACAUAAAAAUGGACAAAGAAACAUAAAAACUCAACUAUAGUGCAAAAACAAAUGUAGAAAGUACAGUUCAUGUAAUGUACACUUUAUUACGUUUGUAACUUUCAUUCUAAAUUGAAUUCCUUGCAGGUUAGUGGGAAGAUCUACACGUUUCUCAAAGGCU